CUACGUUGUGUUGAGCCUGCAGGCACACAGAAUGCACAAGUGAAGGAGGCUUGGCAGCUUCCACCUAGAUUCCAGAGGAUGUAUCAGAGGAAAGCCUUGGUGCUUGCCGCAGGGUGGAGCCUCCACAAAGAUACUUUCCUAGGGCAGUGCUAAGGGGAAAUGUGGGGUUGGAGCCCCACACAGCGUCCUCACCAGGGCACUACCUAGUGGAGCUGUGAGAAGGGGGUUGCUGUCCUUCAGUUGGGAAAAUGGUAGAGCCACUGGCAGCUUGCAUCCUGAGCCUGGAAAGCCACAGGCACUCAACUCCAAUCCAGGAGAGCAGCCACUCGGUGGCAGUCUGCAUAGCCAUGGAGGUGGAGAUGCCCUAAGUGUUGGGAGUCCAUCCCUUGCACCAGUGUGCUCUGGUUUCAGGACAAGGAGUGAAGGAUUAUUUUGGAGCACUAAGGUUUAAGGCUCAUAGGUGGAAGGACUUGCCUUGAGUCUCAGAAGAGACUUUGGACUUUUGAGUGAUGCUGGAAUGAGGUUUGUCAAAGAUCAGCAUUCUUAUACACCAACAACAGACAGAGAGCCAAAUCAUGAGUGAACUCCCAUUCACAAUUGCUUCAAAGAGAAUAAAAUACCUAGGAAUCCAACUUACAAGGGAUGUGAAGGACCUCUUCAAGGAGAACUACAAACCACUGCUCAAGGAAAUAAAAGAGGAUACAAACAUUCCAUGCUCAUGGGUAGGAAGAAUCAAUAUCGUGGAAAUGGCCAUACUGCCCAAGAUACAGAUUUAACCCUUUCCAGUACCGGCGGGAAAGAAAAAUGCUUGGAGAUGGACUCCCAGAGGAACAGGAACAUUGUCUUACUCAUCUUUCUCUACCAAGUAACCAUCAAAAGACUUGGCACUAGGAAGUUACCAGAAAGAAUAAAGUGAAUGUUGCACAUUGCAAGAUUUCUCUAUCAUUAAAAAGUAAGUAAGAAAGAAAAGCCCCACAACAAAUCAGUUGGGAUGAUUAAAAUAGCUUUGGCACUGCUCCAACCUUGAAAAAUCCUUCAGCGCGGUGACUCAUGAUGAUCCAAUCCAAAAAAAUGUGUGAGGCCGACCAGGCAAAAAGGCAAGGAGCAGCUACACCGGAAAAUUAGCACUCCCUAAUCCUCUUCAAAACAGUUGAUGAAGGAGAGACUAUUUGAAUAAUUUGAACCCCAAUUUGAAUAAUUCAUACCUAUUCUCAUGUGUGGCUGGCUGAAUAGAGACUCUCACUGACUGCAUUCAUUUCAUCAGGAGUGUUUACCUUGUACAUUUUUUUCCCCUGGAGAUUGGUUAUGUGGCCAUUACACGUAUCUAAUUGUUUUUCAUUUUGUAAAUGUAAGAGCUUAUCAUUUAUCUAGUUAAGGUACACUGUUACUAGAGCAUUUAAUAUGAUUGAUUGCCAAACAGAAGGUGCAUCCUUUGUCAGAUGUUAAAGUGACUGUUGAUUCUUUAACCCCUAGGGAAUACGACGCCAGUAUAUUUGGUUUCACAAAGUUUUAAAUCCCCUUUUGCAAAUGUUAAAAUUAAACUUCCCCCUCAUGUGAACAAAAUAUGCAACAUAAUCUGUGCUCUUGUGACCCACUUAAUUUCAUAUGAAGAAUUCAAUCACUUAGAAAAAGUUUUUGAGACAUAGGUAAUGAUGCUUCAGAAGGUACCCCAGGAAGUCAAUUUGCCAAAUCCUAGUCCCAUAGAAGCAGGAGGGAGCUUCAAAGUUAUAUGCUUCACUGCCCUCUCUUCAGAUGUGAGAGCACCUAAUUUCCUACAAACUCAAGGUAACAACAUGGGCUCAGAAGUCACGCGCUUAAAUUAAGCAACAUGGCUGCAAAAAACGUUGAUGGCCAAUGUUAAUGAAAUUAAAACAAGCAAAACAAUUUGAACCUCUGAAAAUGCAAUUUUCACAUCAUAGUUAAAAAUUAUUAUUUAUUUUUUCAUACCACAAAGUGCUUUAUUGUUAGGGCACUGGUUUAAAUUAAAAAAGAAAGUGUGUUGACAGCAACAAAAAAAGAUUGUGAUCUACUGAACAAUUUUUGCAAGCACAUUGUUUCUUGGGCCACUUUGAGCAGCUGACCUAAAAAAUAUUAAUCGGAUUAGUAUCUAUUCUGCUCAUAAAAAUUUCUUAUGAAAGAACAAGUCUGUUGCAAGCCAUCUCAAUUUAUACAAUUUAAUAUCAAGAUAUUCUAUUUUACCCUUAAGAUAUUUCAAACAUGCACUUUUCCUUUGAAUUGUAACAAUGGGGCUAUAAAUAAUAAGGAUUUCUUUAUGUUUUUCUUCUGUGAGUACAUCACAGAAAAUAUCCGUUUUUAAAUAACACUAUGAAAUUGAUGGCUCCAUAUCUUACAGAUAACCUAUUGUGAACUCUGAAUCAUUUUGCCAUAUCAUUUUUGGAAAUUUAUCCUCAAGCCUCUGUUUUUGUAUUUUUUCAUGUGUUUAAAAAUUAUAAUUAUAUACUUAUAUUCUGAAUGUAUUCUUAGUGAAAAAUACGUUGGUUUUUAAACUUAAUAAUAAAAACUUGUAACUUUCCAUGUUCUCAUGAAAAGAUAAUGUUACAUGUCCAUUGUAGAGAAGUUGAAAAAUACAGAAAACAUUUGUGAAAUAAUAUUAAAAGCACUUAUAAUUCAACUAUCAGAAAUAACA
rnacentral:lncRNA from 1 species